rnacentral:rRNA from 1 species
UACGUAGGGGGCGAGCGUUGUCCGGAUUUAUUGGGCGUAAAGAGCUCGUAGGCGGUUUGGCAAGUCGGGUGUGAAAACUCCGGGCUCAACCCGGAGACGCCACUCGAUACUGCUAUGACUUGAGUCCGGUAGGGGAGUGCGGAAUUCCUGGUGUAGCGGUGAAAUGCGCAGAUAUCGGGAGGAACACCGGUGGCGAAGGCGGUUCUCUGGGCCUGUACUGACGCUGAGGAGCGAAAGCGUGGGGAGCGAACAGG